rnacentral:rRNA from 1 species
AUGGGGGGACCAUCCUCCAAGGCUAAAUACUCCUGACUGACCGAUAGUGAACCAGUACCGUGAGGGAAAGGCGAAAAGAACCCCGGCGAGGGGAGUGAAAAAGAACCUGAAACCGUGUACGUACAAGCAGUGGGAGCACGCUUAGGCGUGUGACUGCGUACCUUUUGUAUAAUGGGUCAGCGACUUAUAUUCUGUAGCAAGGUUAACCGAAUAGGGGAGCCGAAGGGAAACCGAGUCUUAACUGGGCGUUAAGUUGCAGGGUAUAGACCCGAAACCCGGUGAUCUAGCCAUGGGCAGGUUGAAGGUUGGGUAACACUAACUGGAGGACCGAACCGACUAAUGUUGAAAAAUUAGCGGAUGACUUGUGGCUGGGGGUGAAAGGCCAAUCAAACCGGGAGAUAGCUGGUUCUCCCCGAAAGCUAUUUAGGUAGCGCCUCGUGAAUUCAUCUCCGGGGGUAGAGCACUGUUUCGGCAAGGGGGUCAUCCCGACUUACCAACCCGAUGCAAACUGCGAAUACCGGAGAAUGUUAUCACGGGAGACACACGGCGGGUGCUAACGUCCGUCGUGAAGAGGGAAACAACCCAGACCGCCAGCUAAGGUCCCAAAGUCAUGGUUAAGUGGGAAACGAUGUGGGAAGGCCCAGACAGCCAGGAUGUUGGCUUAGAAGCAGCCAUCAUUUAAAGAAAGCGUAAUAGCUCACUGGUCGAGUCGGCCUGCGCGGAAGAUGUAACGGGGCUAAACCAUGCACCGAAGCUGCGGCAGCGACGCUGAUGCGUUGUUGGGUAGGGGAGCGUUCUGUAAGCCUGUGAAGG